CAAAUUUUCGUGAUAAGAAGGUAAACAAAACGGUUAUAUUUCAUAUCUAAAUUUGUUGAAAAAAUAAAAAUAAAUAAAACAAACAUGUUUAUUUGUUUUCUCGGUCAAUUGAAUUAUAUAGUAAUGACGUGUACUUAAAACUGACAUUUUAUAUAAAGGGCGUCCUUCAAGUAUACGUUUCAAGAUAUGUUAAUAGAUAAAAGAUGUAUCAGAUUCU
rnacentral:lncRNA from 1 species